GACGAACGCUUGCGGCGUGCCUAAUGUAUGCAAGUCGAGCGCGGCUUGCUCCUUCGGGAGCAAGCCGAGCGGCGAACGGUUGAGUAACACGUAGGCAACCUGCCCCGAAGUGGGGGAUAACUCCGCGAAAGCGGGGCUAAUACCGCAUGUGGAUCAAGAGCGCCUGCUCUUCUCUCCAAAGUGGCAACACGCUUCGGGAUGGGCCUGCGGCCUAUCAGCUUGUUGGUGGGGUAACGGCCUACCAAGGCAACGACGGGUAGCUGGUCUGAGAGGAUGGUCAGCCAGACAGGGACUGAGACACGGCCCUGACUCCUUUGGGGGGCAGCAAUGAGGGAUCUUGCGCAAUGGGGGCAACCCUGACGCAGCGACGCCGCGUGGGUGACGAAGGCCUUCGGGCUGUAAAGCCCUUUUGUGAGGGACGAAUACUGACGGUACCUCACGAAGAAGCCCCGGCUAACUCCGUGCCAGCAGCCGCGGUAAUACGGAGGGGGCGAGCGUUGUCCGGAUUUACUGGGCGUAAAGCGCGUGUAGGCGGCCUGCCUUGUCCGGUGUGAAAGCCCGGGGCUCAACCCCGGGAUGCCGCUGGAGACGGGCAGGCUUGAGGAUGGCAGAGGGGCGUGGAAUUCCUGGUGUAGCGGUGAAAUGCGUAGAGAUCAGGAGGAACACCCGUGGCGAAGGCGGCGCCCUGGGCCACACCUAACGCUGAGACGCGAAAGCGUGGGGAGCGAACGGGAUUAGAUACCCCGGUAGUCCACGCCGUAAACGAUGGUCACUUGGUGUGCGCGGUAUCGACCCCGCGCGUGCCGGCGCUAACGCAAUAAGUGACCCGCCUGGGGAGUACGGCCGCAAGGUUGAAACUCAAAGGAAUUGACGGGGGCCCGCACAAGCGGUGGAGCAUGGGCAUUAAUUCGUUACUAACCGAAGAACCUUACCCAGGUUUGACAUCCGCUGCAAGUCCCGGAAACGGGUACCCCCGCCUCGUAAGAGGCGGCAGCGAGACAGGUGUUGCAUGGCUGUCGUCAGCUCGUGUCGUGAGAUGUUGGGUUAAGUCCCGCAACGGGCGCAACCCUCACCCCAUGUUGCCAGCGUCAAGUCGGGCACUCUUGGGGAACUGCCCGGGUAACCGGGAGGAAGGUGGGGAUGACGUCAAGUCGGCAUGGCCCUUACACCUGGGGCUUGACCCAUGCUACAAUGGGCGCGACAGAGGGACGCAAGCCCGUGAGGGGGAGCCAAUCCCAUAAACGCGUUCCCAGUUCGGAUUGCAGGCUGCAACUCGCCUGCAUGAAGGCGGAAUCGCUAGUAACCGCCGGUCAGCCAAACGGCGGUGAAUACGUUCCCGGGCCUUGUACACACCGCCCGUCACGUCACCUGAGUCUGCGGCACCCGAAGUCACUGGCCCAACCCGCAAGGGGGGGAGGUGCCGAAGGUGUGCCCGGUAAGGGGGACG
rnacentral:rRNA from 1 species